UCUCUCCUCAGACCUCACACAUGCAAGUGGAGGGGUAUUGGGAUCUUGUUCCAAAGAGCCGGCGGAUGGGAGUAACGCGUAUGCAAUCUACCUUUUACUAAGGGAUAGCCCGGAGAAAUUCGGAUUAAUCCCUUAUGGUUUUAUGUUUUGGCAUCGAUUAAUAAAUAAAGAUUUAUCGGUAAAAGAUGGGCAUGCGUCCCAUUAGUUAGUUGGUAAGGUAACGGCAUACCAAGGCUAUGAUGGGUAGGGGUCCUGAGAGGGAGAUCCCCCACACUGGUACUGAGACACGGACCAGACUCCUACGGGAGGCAGCAGUGAGGAAUAUUGGUCAAUGGANGNAAGUCUGAACCAGCCAUGCCGCGUGCAGGAAGAANCNUAUGGGUUGUAAACUGCUUUUAUACGGGAAGAAAUCUGNGUAGGUNUGAC
rnacentral:rRNA from 1 species